rnacentral:tRNA from 2 species
GGGCGCUUAGCUCAGUUGGUAGAGCAACUGACUUUUAAUCAGCAGGUCCAGGGUUCGAAUCCCUGAGCGCCCACCA